AGUGAACGCUGGCGGCAGGCCUAAUACAUGCAAGUCGAACGGCAGCACAGUAAGAUUUUGCCCCUACGGGUGGCGAGUGGCGGACGGGUGAGGCAUACAUCGGAUUCUACUUUUUCGUGGGGGACAACGUAGGGCAACUUACGCUACUACCUCAUAUGAUCUACGGCUUGAAUCAGUGGUUCUUCGGACCUUUCCCGUCUCAAUGAGCUGACGCCGCAUUAGCUAGUUGGUAUGGUAAAGGCCCACCAAGGCGACGAUCCGUAGCUGAUCUGAGAGGAUGAUCAGCCACACUGGAACUGAGACACGGUCCAGACUCCUACGGGAGGCAGCAGUAGGGAAUCUUGGACAAUGGGCGAAAGCCUGACGGAGCAAUGCCGCGUGAGUGAAGAAGGCCUUCGGAUUGUAAAACCCUGUUAUUAGGGAAGAACAACAGCGGAAUUAAACACGGAUGUUCUGACGGUACCCAAAGAGAAAGCACCGGCUAACUUCGUG
rnacentral:rRNA from 1 species